rnacentral:rRNA from 1 species
AACGAACGCUGGCGGCAUGCCUAACACAUGCAAGUCGAACGAGGCCUUCGGGUCUAGUGGCGCACGGGUGCGUAACGCGUGGGAACCUGCCCUUAGGUUCGGAAUAACUCCCCGAAAGGGGUGCUAAUACCGGAUAAUGUCUUCGGACCAAAGAUUUAUCGCCUUUGGAUGGGCCCGCGUUGGAUUAGCUAGUUGGUAGGGUAAAAGCCUACCAAGGCGACGAUCCAUAGCUGGUCUGAGAGGAUGAUCAGCCACACUGGGACUGAGACACGGCCCAGACUCCUACGGGAGGCAGCAGUGGGGAAUAUUGGACGAUGGGCGAAAGCCUGAUCCAGCAAUGCCGCGUGAGUGAUGAAGGCCUUAGGGUUGUAAAGCUCUUUUACCCGGGAUGAUAAUGACAGUACCGGGAGAAUAAGCUCCGGCUAACUCCG